rnacentral:rRNA from 1 species
UCCUACGGGGGGCAGCAGUGGGGAAUAUUGCACAAUGGGGGGAACCCUGAUGCAGCGACGCCGCGUGGGUGAAGGAGUAUUUCGGUAUGUAAAGCCCUAUCAGCAGGGAAGAACAAUGACGGUACCUGACUAAGAAGCACCGGCUAAAUACGUGCCAGCAGCCGCGGUAAUACGUAUGGUGCAAGCGUUAUCCGGAUUUACUGGGUGUAAAGGGAGCGUAGACGACAGUGCAAGUCUGGAGUGAAAGGCGGGGGCUCAACCCCCGGACUGCUCUGGAAACUGUACGGCUGGAGUGCAGGAGAGGG